rnacentral:rRNA from 1 species
GAUGAACGCUGGCGGCGUGCCUAAUACAUGCAAGUCGAGCGAACAGACGAGGAGCGUGCUUCUCUUACGUUAGCGGCGGACGGGUGAGGAACAGGUGGAUAACCGACAGAGAAGGCUAGGAUAAGUUCGGGAAACCGGAGCUAGUACAGGAUAAUAGAUUGAACGGCAUGGUUCAAUAGUGAAAGACGGAUUUGAUGUCACUUAUAGAUGGAUCCGCGCCGCAUUAGCUAGUUGGUAAGGUAACGGCUUACCAAGGCAACGAUGCGUAGCCGACCUGAGAGGGUGAUCAGUCACACUGGAACUGAGACACGGUCCAGACUCCUACGGGAGGCAGCAGUAGGGAAUCUUCCGCAAUGGGCGAAAGCCUGAUGGAGCCAUGCCGCGUGAGUGAUGAAGGUCUUCGGAUCGUAAAACUCUGUUAUUAGGGAAGAACAAAUGUGUAAGUAAAUAUUCCCGUCUUGACGUUACCUACACAGAAAGCACCGGCUAACUACGUG